ACGGGAGGCAGCAGUGGGGAAUAUUGCACAAUGGGGGGAAACCCUGAUGCAGCGACGCCGCGUGAGCGAUGAAGUAUUUCGGUAUGUAAAGCUCUAUCAGCAGGGAAGAUAAUGACGGUACCUGACUAAGAAGCCCCGGCUAACUACGUGCCAGCAGCCGCGGUAAUACGUAGGGGGCAAGCGUUAUCCGGAUUUACUGGGCGUAAAGGGAGUGUAGGUGGUUGGCAAGCCAGAUGUGAAAGCCCGGGGCUCAACCCCGCGGACUGCAUUUGGAACUGUUAAACUUGAGUGCAGGAGAGGAAAGUGGAAUUCCUAGUGUAGCGGUGAAAUGCGUAGAUAUUAGGAGGAACACCAGUGGCGAAGGCGGCCUGCUGGACGACAACUGACGCUGAGGCGCGAAAGCGUGGGGAGCAAACAGGAUUAGAUACCCUGGGA
rnacentral:rRNA from 1 species